UACGAAGGGUGCAAGCGUUACUCGGAAUCACUGGGCGUAAAGCGUGCGUAGGCGGUUCGUUAAGUCUGCUGUGAAAGCCCUGGGCUCAACCUGGGAACUGCAGUGGAUACUGGCGGACUAGAGUGUGAUAGAGGAUGGUGGAAUUCCCGGUGUAGCGGUGAAAUGCGUAGAGAUCGGGAGGAACACCUGUGGUGUAGACGCUUUCUGGACCGUAGCUGACGCUGAGACACGAAAGCGUGGGUAGCAAACAGG
rnacentral:rRNA from 1 species